UACGUAGGGUGCGAGCGUUAAUCGGAAUUACUGGGCGUAAAGCGUGCGCAGGCGGUGAUGUAAGACAGGUGUGAAAUCCCCGGGCUUAACCUGGGAACUGCAUUUGUGACUGCAUCGCUGGAGUGCGGCAGAGGGGGAUGGAAUUCCGCGUGUAGCAGUGAAAUGCGUAGAUAUCGGGAGGAACACCAGUGGCGAAGGCGAUCACCUGGGGUUGUUCUGACGCUGAGGAGCGAAAGCUAGGGGAGCAAACGGG
rnacentral:rRNA from 1 species